UGGGGAAUAUUGGACAAUGGGCGAAAGCCUGAUCCAGCCAUGCCGCGUGUGUGAAGAAGGUCUUCGGAUUGUAAAGCACUUUAAGUUGGGAGGAAGGGCAGUAAGCGAAUACCUUGCUGUUUUGACGUUACCGACAGAAUAAGCACCGGCUAACUCUGUGCCAGCAGCCGCGGUAAUACAGAGGGUGCAAGCGUUAAUCGGAAUUACUGGGCGUAAAGCGCGCGUAGGUGGUUUGUUAAGUUGGAUGUGAAAGCCCCGGGCUCAACCUGGGAACUGCAUUCAAAACUGACAAGCUAGAGUAUGGUAGAGGGUGGUGGAAUUUCCUGUGUAGCGGUGAAAUGCGUAGAUAUAGGAAGGAACUCCAGUGGCGAAGGCGACCACCUGGACUGAUACUGACACUGAGGUGCGAAAGCGUGGGGAGCAAACA
rnacentral:rRNA from 1 species